GCGUAGGAAUCUACCUGGUAGUGGGGGACAACUUGUGGAAACGCAAGCUAAUACCGCAUACGCCCUACGGGGGAAAGCGGGGGAUCUUCGGACCUCGCGCUAUUGGAUGAGCCUGCGUAAGAUUAGCUAGUUGGUGAGGUAAAGGCUCACCAAGGCGACGAUCUUUAGCUGGUCUGAGAGGAUGAUCAGCCACACUGGAACUGAGACACGGUCCAGACUCCUACGGGAGGCAGCAGUGGGGAAUAUUGCGCAAUGGGCGAAAGCCUGACGCAGCCAUGCCGCGUGUGUGAAGAAGGCCCU
rnacentral:rRNA from 1 species